rnacentral:rRNA from 1 species
UCAAGCGAACAAGUGCAUGUGGUGGAUGCCUUGGCGAUCACAGGCGAUGAAGGACGCGGUAGCCUGCGAAAAGCUUCGGGGAGCUGGCAAACGAGCUUUGAUCCGGAGAUGUCCGAAUGGGGAAACCCGGCCCGUAUGGGUCAUCCCUUGCUGAAUACAUAGGCAAGGGAAGCGAACGCGGCGAACUGAAACAUCUAAGUAGCUGCAGGAACAGAAAUCAACCGAGAUUCCCAAAGUAGUGGCGAACGAAAUGGGAAGAGCCUUGUACUCUUUAGCAGUGGUGUUAGCAGAACGGGAUGGAAAGCCCGGCCAUAGCAGGUGAUAGCCCUGUAUGCGAAAACACGAUUGUGGAACUAGGUGUACGACAAGUAGGGCGGGACACGUGAAAUCCUGUCUGAAGAUGGGGGGACCAUCCUCCAAGGCUAAAUACUCGUGAUCGACCGAUAGUGAACCAGUACCGUGAGGGAAAGGCGAAAAGAACCCCGGGAGGGGAGUGAAAUAGAUCCUGAAACCGCAUGCAUACAAACAGUCGGAGCCCUUUCGGGGGUGACGGCGUACCUUUUGUAUAAUGGGUCAGCGACUUACAUUCAGUGGCAAGCUUAACCGAUUAGGGAAGGCGUAGCGAAAGCGAGUCCGAACAGGGCGUUGAGUCGCUGGGUGUAGACCCGAAACCAGAUGAUCUAUCCAUGGCCAGGUUGAAGGUGCGGUAACACGUACUGGAGGACCGAACCCACUAACGUUGAAAAGUUAGGGGAUGAGCUGUGGAUAGGGGUGAAAGGCUAAACAAAUCUGGAAAUAGCUGGUUCUCUCCGAAAACUAUUUAGGUAGUGCCUCGUGUCUCACCUUCGGGGGUAGAGCACUGUCAUGGUUGGGGGGUCUAUUGCUGAUUACCCCGCCAUAGCAAACUCCGAAUACCGAAGAGUGCAAUCACGGGAGACAGACAUCGGGUGCUAACGUCCGGUGUCAAGAGGGAAACAACCCAGACCGCCAGCUAAGGUCCCCAAAUAUGGCUAAGUGGGAAACGAAGUGGGAAGGCUAAAACAGUCAGGAGGUUGGCUUAGAAGCAGCCACCCUUUAAAGAAAGCGUAAUAGCUCACUGAUCGAGUCGUCCUGCGCGGAAGAUGUAACGGGGCUAAGCCAUAUACCGAAGCUGCGGACGCGUGCGUUCCUUUAAGUGCACCAAGCUUGUCGAUGCGCAGCAUCGACAAAGCCACCAACAAUGAUCGAUGGUGGUUGUGCUAGUGGAUUUAAAGGAGCGCACGCGUGGUAGGAGAGCGUUCUGUAAGCCUGUGAAGGUGUCUUGUAAAGGAUGCUGGAGGUAUCAGAAGUGCGAAUGCUGACAUGAGUAGCGAUAAAGGGGGUGAAAGGCCCCCUCGCCGUAAGCCCAAGGUUUCCUACGCAACGUUCAUCGGCGUAGGGUGAGUCGGCCCCUAAGGCGAGGCAGAGAUGCGUAGCUGAUGGGAAGCAGGUUAAUAUUCCUGCACCGUCGUAUGAUGCGAUGGGGGGACGGAUCGCGGAAGGUUGUCCGGGUGUUGGAAGUCCCGGUCCCUGCAUUGGAGAAGGCGCUUAGGCAAAUCCGGGCGCGGAAUUCAAGGAUGUGGGGCGAGCGGCCUAGUGCUGCGAAGCAAUUGGAAGUGGUUCCAAGAAAAGCCUCUAAGCUUCAGUCAUACGAGACCGUACCGCAAACCGACACAGGUGGGCGAGAUGAGUAUUCUAAGGCGCUUGAGAGAACUCGGGAGAAGGAACUCGGCAAAUUGGUACCGUAACUUCGGGAUAAGGUACGCCCUGGUAGCUUGACUGGCCUGCGCCAGAAGGGUGAAGGGGUUGCAAUAAAAUGGUGGCUGCGACUGUUUAAUAAAAACACAGCACUCUGCAAACACGAAAGUGGACGUAUAGGGUGUGACGCCUGCCCGGUGCCGGAAGAUUAAAUGAUGGGGUGCAAGCUCUUGAUUGAAGUCCCGGUAAACGGCGGCCGUAACUAUAACGGUCCUAAGGUAGCGAAAUUCCUUGUCGGGUAAGUUCCGACCUGCACGAAUGGCGUAACGAUGGCCACACUGUCUCCUCCCGAGACUCAGCGAAGUUGAAGUGUUUGUGAUGAUGCAAUCUCCCCGCGGCUAGACGGAAAGACCCCAUGAACCUUUACUGUAGCUUUGCAUUGGACUUUGAACCGAUCUGUGUAGGAUAGGUGGGAGGCUUUGAAGCGUGGACGCCAGUUCACGUGGAGCCGUCCUUGAAAUACCACCCUGGUUUGUUUGAGGUUCUAACCUUGGCCCGUGAAUCCGGGUCGGGGACAGUGCAUGGUAGGCAGUUUGACUGGGGCGGUCUCCUCCCAAAGUGUAACGGAGGAGUUCGAAGGUACGCUUGGUACGGUCGGACAUCGUACCUAAAGUGCAAUGGCAAAAGCGUGCUUAACUGCGAGACCGACAAGUCGAGCAGGUGCGAAAGCAGGACAUAGUGAUCCGGUGGUUCUGAAUGGAAGGGCCAUCGCUCAACGGAUAAAAGGUACUCUGGGGAUAACAGGCUGAUACCGCCCAAGAGUUCAUAUCGACGGCGGUGUUUGGCACCUCGAUGUCGGCUCAUCUCAUCCUGGGGCUGUAGCCGGUCCCAAGGGUAUGGCUGUUCGCCAUUUAAAGAGGUACGUGAGCUGGGUUUAAAACGUCGUGAGACAGUUUGGUCCCUAUCUGCCGUGGGCGUUGGAAUCUUGACGGGGGCUGCUCCUAGUACGAGAGGACCGGAGUGGACGUACCGCUGGUGUACCUGUUGUCUCGCCAGAGGCAUCGCAGGGUAGCUAUGUACGGAAGAGAUAACCGCUGAAAGCAUCUAAGCGGGAAACUCGCCUGAAGAUGAGGAUUCCCUGGAGGCUUGACCUCCUUGAAGGGUCGUUCGAGACCAGGACGUUGAUAGGCUGGGUGUGGAAGCGCAGUAAUGCGUUAAGCUAACCAGUACUAAUUGCCCGUAAGGCUUGAUCCU